UGGGGAAUAUUGCACAAUGGGCGAAAGCCUGAUGCAGCGACGCCGCGUGAGGGAUGACGGCCUUCGGGUUGUAAACCUCUUUCAGCAGGGAAGAAGCGAAAGUGACGGUACCUGCAGAAGAAGCGCCGGCUAACUACGUGCCAGCAGCCGCGGUAAUACGUAGGGCGCAAGCGUUGUCCGGAAUUAUUGGGCGUAAAGAGCUCGUAGGCGGUUAGUCGCGUCUGCUGUGAAAACUCGAGGCUCAACCUCGGGCUUGCAGUGGGUACGGGCUGACUAGAGUGCGGUAGGGGGUGACUGGAAUUCCUGGUGUAGCGGUGGAAUGCGCAGAUAUCAGGAGGAACACCGAUGGCGAAGGCAGGUCACUGGGCCGCAACUGACGCUGAGGAGCGAAAGCAUGGGGAGCGAACAGGAUUAGAUACCCUGGUAGUCCAUGCCGUAAACGUUGGGCACUAGGUGUGGGGUCCAUUCCACGGAUUCCGUGCCGCAGCAAACGCAUUAAGUGCCCCCGCCUGGGGGAGUACGGCCGCAAGGCUAAAACUUAAAUGAAUUGAC
rnacentral:rRNA from 1 species